rnacentral:lncRNA from 1 species
CCACAGGCAACCGGACUCUGAAAAGCGCCAAGGUGGUCUUUUAAGAGCGAUAAAGUAAUCAGCAUUUCAUUCAGGAAGCUGUCGCCACUAUUGACAAUCCAGGCAGCCGUCUGGGGAUAGUCUCGCGUCUCUACCACCACCUUUAGGCAAUGUAAUGGACCAACUGACCAAGGAUGAGAUCACCCAACUUCACAUCCAAUAAGAAUCGGGAUUUGGGCAAAGAGAGAGACGAAGAGGAAAUAUAUACGGACAAGUAGUCUUACAGUGGCAGAGGAGUAUGCAUUUGCACCAGCUGACACUUCUAUAAACACAACGAAUGCAGUCAGCUCCAGAGAACAUGGGGACCACAGCUGAGGGAUC